rnacentral:rRNA from 1 species
AGUGAACGCUGGCGGUAGGCCUAACACAUGCAAGUCGAACGGCAGCACAGUAAGAGCUUGCUCUUACGGGUGGCGAGUGGCGGACGGGUGAGGAAUACAUCGGACUCUACUUUUUCGUGGGGGAUAACGUAGGGAAACUUACGCUAAUACCGCAUACGACCUACGGGGGAAAGCAGGGGAACUUCGGACCUUGCGCGAUUGAAUGCGCCGAUGUCGGAUUGGUUUGUGGGCGGGGUAAAGGCCCAGCAGGGCGACGAUCCGCAGCUGGUCUGGGAGGAGGGUCGGCCACACUAGAGCGGGACCGCGGACCAGACGACUACGGGAGGCAGCAGUGUGGAAUGUUGGACAAUGGUCGGAAGCCUGAUCCAGCCAGACCGCGUGGGAGAAGAAGGCGUUCGGGUUGUAAAGCCCUUUUGUUGGGAAAGAAAAGCAGCAGGUUGAUACCCCGCGGUUGUGACGGUACCCAAAGAAUAAGCACCGGCUAACUUCGUG